UACGUAGGGUGCGAGCGUUGUCCGGAAUUAUUGGGCGUAAAGAGCGUGUAGGCGGCUUCACAGGUCCGCUGUGAAAACUCGAGGCUCAACCUCGAGCUGUCGGUGGAAACCGUGUGGCUAGAGUCCGGAAGAGGAGAGUGGAAUUCCUGGUGUAGCGGUGAAAUGCGCAGAUAUCAGGAAGAACACCCGUGGCGAAGGCGGCUCUCUGGGACGGUACUGACGCUGAGACGCGAAAGCGUGGGGAGCGAACAGG
rnacentral:rRNA from 1 species